GCUUAACGUAGAGGUGCGUUGUUUAUAAGUCGUGCGCAAGAGGGUGAUACCGAUGAGAGCGCAUAAAAGGAAACAACGCCGAAGCCAAUCAGGUCAUCACACCGAUUGAGCUGGGGCUGUUACCGAAUAGGGGCAGCACUGCCAUAGUACUUGGAAAUACACUAUGGAGCGCUACUGUAUGU
rnacentral:ncRNA from 2 species